UUCAAAUCAAGUUCUAAGCACAAAUUAACGAUCACCUAAUCAUAGUGAUCAACAGGCAAAGAGUCCGGAUCGUCAAGCGGACAAACCGAAGGGAAUCCACGGGGAAAGGGCGUGCUCUAAAGUUUUCAGGUAUUCAAGAAAAAGGAUGAUGAUCAAGCAUAACUAUCCGAACCGAACACUCUAGCAAACGCUUCCGCAUAUGAUCUUUUGUUCUAAAAACUAUGUAAACAAUUGUAGUUAAUAUCUUGAUUAUGAUUUC